UACGAAGGGGGCUAGCGUUGUUCGGAAUUACUGGGCGUAAAGGGCGCGUAGGCGGCGCGGUAAGUCACUUGUGAAAUCUCUAAGCUUAACUUAGAACGGUCAAGUGAUACUGACGUGCUAGAGUGCAGAAGGGGCAACCGGAAUUCUCGGUGUAGCGGUGAAAUGCGUAGAUAUCGAGAGGAACACCUGCGGCGAAGGCGGGUUGCUGGGCUGACACUGACGCUGAUGCGCGAAAGCUAGGGGAGCGAACGGG
rnacentral:rRNA from 1 species